rnacentral:rRNA from 1 species
ACUCCUACGGGAGGCAGCAGUGGGGAAUAUUGGACAAUGGGCGAAAGACCUGAUCCAGCCAUGCCGCGUGUGUGAAGAAGGUCUUCGGAUUGUAAAGCACUUUAAGUUGGGUAGGAAGGGCGAGUAAGUUAAUACCUUGCUGUUUUGUACGUUACCAACAGAAUAAGCACCGGCUAACUUCGUGCCAGCAGCCGCGGUAAUACGAAGGGGUGCAAGCGUUAAUCGGAAUUACUGGGCGUAAAGCGCGCGUAGGUGGUUCAGCAAGUUGGAUGUGAAAUCCCCGGGGCUCAACCUGGGAACUGCAUCCAAAACUACUGAGCUAGAGUACGGUAGAGGGUGGUGGAAUUUCCUGUGUAGCGGUGAAAUGCGUAGAUAUAGGAAGGAACACCAGUGGCGAAGGCGACCACCUGGACUGAUACUGACACUGAGGUGCGAAAGCGUGGGGAGCAAAUAGGAUUAGAUA